CGGCGGAGUCCCCAGCGAGGGAUGUCGAUGCCGGCGGCGUCGAGGUGGACGGCGGCGGGGUAGUCGUAGGCGGUGACCAUGGUGAUGGGUUCGCCGUGCUUGUGUUUAUUGUGGAGAUGAUAUUCUGAUGCCGUCAUGGUUUGACAUUCAUGAUAUUCCUAUAACUGUUGAAUCGCCAAAAGAUGAAAAGGGAGUUCUUGAAGCUGUUCAAAAUGUGCAUGGUUUGAUUGACAAGGAGGUAGCUGCUGGCAUAAGUCUGAGCUGAUGAUGGUUUUGGAUGAUGAGGAAGAAGGUGAAGAAGGAGAAGAAGAGGGCUUGAGUAAAUGUAUAGGGAAGGAGUUGAAGAAGCUUCUGCAGUGUCAUAGCCAUUGUAAAUAAUUUAUGUAAAAGUUUAUAAACAAUUUAUGUAUCUCUCUACUAUUUUGG